GGCGCUCCGUCCCCCGCCCGGCUCUGCCCCGGGAAGGCGGCUGGAUGCACGCUGCCUCCCUCACCCUCCCUUCCCGGGAAGGGUGCUUGCCCGGGGAGAGGGAGCCUGUCCCACUCGGGACGGGAGGGAACGAGGUGGGUCCCCGCCGGUAGCACCCCAACUCUCCAAACCAAACCACCCCACAGAGCUCCCCGCGCUGUUUAGCCGAGCCAUUUCUUUUAUUCGGUACGAUGAAAUAAAUAUUCAUAACGACUGCUGGCUACACCUGAAAUUAUAGCCCUAAUUGCGGAGCUGUUGGCCUGAGUUACCACAUUUGCUGCUUACUCAUCCGUAAGAAUUGCUCAGCGCCGGGCCCCAGCCGUGGGGGUUCCCUCUCGGGGGGCUCGGUGCCCGUCGGUGCUGGGCGGUGCCGAGCCCCGUGGCCGCUCCCCGGGGCACAGACCGACGGCCACGGACGGGGCGGCCCGGACCGCCCCAGCUCCCGCCGUCCGCGGAAACGCGGGAUGCCAAAGAAGGGAUGUGCAAAUUGUUGAGCAAAUUAGGCCAAUUCGAAAUAAAUAAGCACUGCGGGAAGAGAGCCUGCCACUCCCGGGAAAUAAUUGAAGAGAAACCCGGCACUGUUAUAUUGAUGUAAGCCUGGAGUAAUUACACGGAGGUCAAAGUUGUUGCACGCGCUGCAGAAGUUGUGCUCGCUCCGUAGUUUGAGAGCGGAUUAUGUUCCCUCUUAGGUCGAUGGCACAUAUACAAAAUUCUGCAUUUUUUUUUCUAUGCACGUAAGAGGAUAUAAAUAAUGAUUUUUUUUCUUUCCCUGUCAGACUCUAUCUGUAACCUAAUCCUGAAACAAAGUUUCAAAGACCGUCCCAUGAGAUGGACCAAAUGCCGAAACAGAUAGCUAAAACAAACAAUACCUUGUUGUGGUUAAAAGCUAAAUGCCCCAGAAAAGCUCCUUUUAGGAGCUAUUACAACCCACCCUAGAAGACAGAUAACUGCAGGGCUUGCAGCAUAAACUUUUUUUUACAGACAUUAUUUUUCUUUAUUGCUCCUGUAAAUACUAAAAAACUACGUGAUCGGCAUUGACCUUUGAUUCUGUCUUACGAUCGUGGAAGCCACUUUUUUUAAAGGACCUUUUCAGAGCCAUAUGAGUACAAAAGGAGGUGAACUAUGUUGACAGACUUGCAGAUGAAUAUGCAGCCCAGUAUACGAAUACAUCUCCCAUCUGUGUGGCAAUGAAACAGCUUCAUAUAACUCAACAAAGGAGACAUUGAUUUAGUAAAGCGAGGAUGUAUCCAUCAGCACUAAGUUACAGCUGUUCGUAAUGGAUUUGAAAAUACAAAAGCUAUUUCACCUCUUAGAUUGUCCUAUUAUGAAAUGUUAGUGGUAGUUGCGCAUAUCAAAGCACCAGAUACCAGCCAAACCUUGUGAAACGUGAAGGCAGCAUCAAGCCAGCCCCUUGUGAAGCUCCCCAAUGCCAACUGAAAGCCUAUUUCCCCAGUACGCUCCUAUUUUGUCUUUUCCCCCUGCAGGUAUUUGCUGUUACUCACUCACUGCUAAUUUUUUUUUUUAUUUAUUCCUUUUGCAAAAGCAAUAUUUCUGCUCGUGAAGCCACGGUUUGUUUCCCAAUUGCUUUGUUUUCAAAAUAAACCAGAGAAAACCCAAGCCAUCGUCUUUGUAAGAAAGCAUACAUUUAGUGUUUGGCAAACUAAAAGGCAAGACUUUGCAAAUCACCUUUAUUUUCAGUGUCAAGCAGCUGGAGCACUUUUACUUCCAAAAAUGUGGAAGAGCUAUGUUGUCAGACAGCUUGGAGAGAGGCAGGUAAUAAAUUGCAUUGUGCUGCAUAAAGGUUUUAAGGGUCUUUUAAAAUGUCCUGGAGGUAAGUUGCCAGGAGAUAUAUUAAUACUUUUAUUUAGCUGUAUUUCAGUUCGUGUUUGUCUUUGCUUCUCUGGUGUUGAGGGCACUUAAAACAAAUUGGCUGGUCUGUGUGGCACAGCGGUAGCUGGCUAAAGUUGCUCUCGUGGUUUUCUGGUCAUUUCUAUGAACUACUGACACCAAGCAACCUGGUGUGUUAGUGGCACAAAGUUUGCUGUCCAUGGAGGCAGAAAGAGCUCUUUCUAUCCAGGCUGAUAACUGGCUAGUUUUUAUUCCUUCUCAACUGAGUCCAUACAUUCUACAUGAAGGUGAGGGAAAUUUAGGAGGACAUAGCCAGUAACUCAAGAAAGGGAGCUCCAAAGAGAGGGAUCCCUGUGAAAUCACAAAGCUUACAGGUGUUGUAGGUCUAAGUUUUUACUUUAUGCAAUGUUUUAAGCAGUAUGUAAUAGAGCAUUACUUUAUGCUGUAUUGGCUAUGGAGUUCUUUUCUAUGGAAAUCCUAUUUUCUGAUCAUAAUCUUCCAGUAAAAGUUUAUUUUGAACUAUGAGUUCCUUCUGGAAAUCACGCUGGGCUGGAUGAGGUCUAGAAAUGCAGGGAGGGACAACAGGUUAUUUGAUAACAAGGUCUGGCUAAGAAAUUUCCUUAAAAAUUCCUUUAGGAAAAAAGAGAAAAAACCCAAAACCCUUGAAUCCAAACAAGAAUGUAAUAACAUAAGACUCUGAAGAAGUGCACUUUCCAACUUGCUUCUGUACCAUAUGGAUUUUAUCUUGGUUCCUUUUACCUUCCCCAUUGCAUGACCCAAAGUUUCUGUGUUGCCAUGAGGUGUGCUGAGCACUGAUUCCUUCACAGGACCAGAGGUAGAGCUUUAUACCCCAUGCAACUUAUUCACACCAGGCUUUUCUCAGAGCAUGGGGUCCUCAAGGGACAGGACAACAGCUGGCCUGCAGCCCAGCAUGGAAAAGGGAAUCUUCUUUUGACCGUCGACUAGGCUUUAAAGCCUCUUUAUAGAAUGAAUUCACUGUCAAUAUACUUUUGUUUUGAUUUAGUGACUGAAAUAAACUGAUUAUUCCC